rnacentral:rRNA from 1 species
CAGUAGCCGCGGUAAUACGAACCGUGCGAACGUUAUUCGGAAUUACUGGGCGUAAAGGGAGCGUAGGCGGAUCGUUAAGUUGGGGGUGAAAGCCCGGGGCUCAACCUCGGAAUUGCCUUCAAUACUGGCGAUCUUAAGUAUGGGAGAGGUAUGUGGAACUCCGAGCGUAGAGGUGAAAUUCGUAGAUAUUCGGAAGAACACCAGUGGCGAAGGCGACAUACUGGUCCAUUACUGACGCUGAGGCUCGAAAGCGUGGGGAGCAAACAGGAUUAGAUACCCGAGUAGUCCCUGUCUCUUAUAU